rnacentral:rRNA from 1 species
AGCAGUAGCCACGGGAAUACGUAGGGUGCAAGCGUUAAUCGGAAUUACUGGGCGUAAAGCGUGCGCAGGCGGUUUGUUAAGACAGAUGUGAAAUCCCCGGGCUUAACCUGGGAACUGCAUUUGUGACUGGCAAGCUAGAGUAUGGCAGAGGGGGGUGGAAUUCCGCGUGUAGCAGUGAAAUGCGUAGAUAUGCGGAGGAACACCGAUGGCGAAGGCAGCCCCCUGGGCCAAUACUGACGCUCAUGCACGAAAGCGUGGGGAGCAAACAGGAUUAGAUACCCCCGGUAGUCCCUGUCUCUUAUA